rnacentral:lncRNA from 1 species
GGUUUACGUCAUGUCCAGACCAGCGCGCGCUUCCACCGCAGUGCCCGCGCUUAAAGGGGCGGUCCCUUAGGGCGGAACUUGUGCGUACGCUGGAAAACCGCUGGGGUGCGCGAUUCCGCACGGGGGCGCACAUGCGCAGUCUGGGGCCACGAUCAUUCCAUCGGAAAGAGGUCGAAAAUGUACAGUAGGCAUGCACAAAGGAUACCGCCUGGAAAGAAGGUAAAACUGGAAAACAGGAGGGAGGCGGGGCCCAAUUUUGGCUUCUCCUUCCG